rnacentral:rRNA from 1 species
AAACGAUGGAGGUCAGUCGUGUCUGUGGGAUUCAGCCGUCUCUGGCGGUGUACUUCCCACAGACGGGUCAACAUCAGUUUUGGCUGGCGGAUAAAGGCAGGAGGAAGGUGGCACCCCCGGGUGUGUUAUAGCUUUUUACCGUAUACAGUGGUUGGGACUGAGGAACUCAGCACGCCGCAAGGCCGGGUUUUUAACCACGUUCGUGCUUAGGAUGCUGGCAUAAUGGCUUUAAU